rnacentral:lncRNA from 1 species
UCAUUAGCCCCACGGUUACCGAAACCGAGGUGGCCGAGAAUUCCCUUCCUGGAAAAAGAUCUGAUGACAACUUACAGACAGCAAUCACCGAGUUCAGUACUGAUAAAGGUAGUUGAGGAAUUGUCCCCUUGAUAAAUCCUUCCUUCCAUGAAUGACCAGUUAUUUUCACAAUCUCCAUUUCUGAAGGUCCGAACUUAAUGUCAUUCACCACUUUUGGCCUUCUUAUGAAAGCCAACACUACACCUAACAAGAAAAUGAUGAAAGCUGAAGGGAUGGUAGCCAUGAUUAUCCUCAUUCUUUUUCUUCUAAUAUUCCUUUCUUCAUCAACAAUAGCUUCCUCACUUUGAUUUCUUUCUUGACCUGCUCCAUUGAUAAAAGUUAUGAAACCAGCACAAACAAUAGCCAAAACCAUUCCAUCCAAUCCUAACCACUGCCUAUUUCCCAUAGAUUUUGACUUUGAGAAAUCCUGAACCUUUCUAAUAUACUUGACAGCACUCAUAGCAAAUGAUAAGCCUUGGGACAAUUGAAUUCCCCUAACAACAGACAAAGGUAUAAACUUGUACACCAUCUGCAUCAACCCUGUAACACCCAAAACCAGCAAAAUUGCACCUGUACAAAUCCCAGCUGCCAUAAUUUCCGGGAUGUUAAAACCAGAACUGUCCGAUAUAGCUACGGCCGCAAUAGACUUCAUGGGUUGGACAGGCAUUGGGACACCAUAUAAGACACCAGUGACAACGUUGUAAAUACCAGUGAAUAUCAAUGUGGUGCCCAAGUUAAGGUCCUUGGCAAGUGUCAAGGCUAAUACAAUAGGAAUAUAUGUGCCUAAGUCUCCCAUGGCACCAUUCAAUUCCGCCCAUUUGGAAUGAAAACCCAAGUUUCUCGUCACCCUUUGGACUAUGUUGACUGAUGAACGAGAGAUGGGGUUAUUGUUAGGAGGUGUUUCAGGUAGGGUUUGGGGGUUUGGACUUUGAGACUCCAUGGGUGUGAACUGUCAAGUAUACCAGUGAGUGAAGAUUUGACGAGGGAGUGUGAUUGUUUUAAGGGUGACAAGUAGGUCUUAGAGGGGCGAUUUUGACCAUUCUUUUGGUUGGUGCAAAAGCCCUAGGGAAUCUAAACCAUGCGCCACUACUAGUGGCUCGAAGCAUCUUCUAUAUAAAGAGCUUGAAAACCAGACUAAAGUAGUUAAUGUGAUUCUGAUAUGACUCAAAACUAAAAAAAGCAUUUGAUUUUUACCUCUAUUUUAAUCCAUAUUUAUUUAAAAAUAUAAUUAUUUAGAAAAUAGUAUUUUUUUAAAAUUUUCACCCCAAAGUAUAUAUUUUAGGGUAAACUACAGUCACGGUCCCUAGAUUAUUAAUUAGUUUACUUUUUAGUGAAUAAUCUAAAAAAAAUUACAAAAUAGUCAUUGCAUUAUUUGAAAUUUUUAUUUAAGUCAUUGUAUUUUUAAAAUCGUUGUUGUAUGACAUUCUCUAUUAUCAAUGCCUGCACCAAUCUAAAGCUCUCAUUUCCCUUAUUUUUCAUAGUUUAUUUUUUUUUAUAAAAUAACUUUGAAUGUCACAAAUCUACAAAUCAAAAUCCAAACAACUUUAUUUUCUAAUCUCUAACACUGACCAUCAAAUCAAUUUGAAUCUAAAGCAUGCUUUUCUACUUAUUAAUGGAUACUGAUUCACCGUACUGAUCGUCGAAUUGUCUCUUGGAGCUAACUAGAUAAACAUAAAAAAAGAAAAAAAAAGAAGGUAACUUAAUAACUUAGUGACUUAAAUAAAAACUCUCGAAUAAUUUAGUGAUUUAAAUGAAAACUUUCGAAUAAUUCAGUGAUAAUUUUGUAACUUUUUGAAGUUGAAUGAUCAAAAUGUAUACUUACUAAUAGUUUAGUGACAUUGAGUCUAAUUUACACUAUAUAUUAUAUAUUAUAUAGGCCUGCUUAUAGGUCGGGCCACCUGACUCGGUCCGAAAAAUGGGAAGGUUUGGGCAAAAAUAUAGACCCGAAAAAUAGACUAGGGAAAAAAAUAAGGCCUGUUUUAAAAAUGGGUCGUACCUCAGGUGAGACAUUUUUGACCUGAGCCUGGCCCGACCAGAAUUUACUAAAUGCCAAACAAAAUCUGCUAUUUUUUUUGUUAUUUUAAUGAUAUUUUCUCCUUAUUUUGCUACCAUUCCACUAUCAUAUUGCUAUUAUUUUGUUGUUAUUAUUUGGAUAUUAUAUAAUACUUGUUUUACUGUUAAUUUUGUUAUUAUUUUAGAGACAUUUUCUUGUUAAGUUGCAUCUAUCUUAGUAUUGUUUAAGUAUAUAUAUAUUUUUUAAAUUUAUUUUCAAUUUGUUCAGAAAUAUUUAUUUUAAUAUUUUUAGUAUUUUUGAUGUAUUAUAUAUAUUUAAAAAUUAUAUAAAAAAUAAUAUAAUAUAAAAAAUUUAAUAUGGGCGAGCAGGGUCAGGCCCAAGUUUUAGCAUUUUUAUCCGAGUUAGACUUGAACAAAUUUUUAGGCUCAUUUUUUGAGUCAGGUUGGACCCGGGCCUAACAAACAGGCCUAAAUUUUUACUUGAGUCCGACCCGAUCUGACCCAUGAUCACCUCUAAUAUUAUAUAUAAAUAUUUAAAACUGAAAUCUCUACAAAAAUCUAUGAAAGAUAUAUCAAUUAUAAUAUUAAAUAAUUUACAAAAUUUAUAAAAUAAAAUAAAAUAAUAUUUAUAUAAAAAUAUACCAAUAUUGAUUAUAAAAAAAUCAAUUAUACAUUUUCUUUCAAAACAAAUCAAUCAUAUGUAAGAAGAAUUAAUUAUAACUAUAAUUAUAAUUAUACUAAAUAUAACAGCCCUAACCCACAUCCAUCACCAGAAUAGGGUUACGAAGUAUUACCGAUCAAACAGACAUAAUUUCAAGCAUUUCAUAUCAUAUAAUAUUAAAGACAAAACUAAUCAAACUCAUACAUAUUGUCCCUUAUUCGAGCCCUUGAGGCCCAAAUUACGUAUUAGAAACAAGUCGGGACUAAUUCUGAAACUCAGAGAAUUUUUCGAAAAAUAAUAAAAAUUUUCAAAGUUGCAGGGUUCACACGGCCAUGUGGCCAGAAUGUACCUUAAAUAACAAAUUUACCAUUCUCUGCAAGCUUGGACAUUAAGCAAUUCAAAACUCAUUCGUUUAACUUAUUCAAAACACGAUUAAACACAUCCAAAACAUGUUAAAACAAUCAUCCUAGGUGUCUAACCAAUGUACCCUCAUAGGUACCACAAUUAUAUCAUCAAAACAUAUAAAUAAAACAUCAUUCAAAUCCAAUUUAUAAACAUGUCAAUUUUAAUUUAUUUUACCUAUUUCAUGUUCAUUUAAACAUUAACUUAAAUAUGUCAUAUUAUGACGUCAAACAUAAACACAUAUUUAUAUGUAUAUAACCAUCCAAUAUUAGCUUAUAAUCUUAUUUACAAUCAAUCCACAAAAUGAUUAAUAUUUAGACUCCCUAGAUAUAUGCCCAACACAAAAGGAAAAAUAUCACCACGUUUGAGUUCGGGACCGUUGUUGGAUGCUGAAUCGGCGAUCAAAACUUAUUACCUAACCUACGCACAUAAAACAAAACCGUAUGCUGAGUAAAACUCAAUGGUAUUUUUAGAAUCCGAAUAAUUAAAACAAGAAAUUAUAGUUAUACAUUUGAAAUAUAAACACUUAUUAAUAUUUAAAUACUAUAACAAUCAUAUCAUAUUUCGUUUGUUUCACAAUAUCUCAAUUCUCAUACUUGGUAUAUAAAUAGCUUUUCACAAUUUAUUUCAAAUUUCAUUAUAUAUUUGCAAUAUCCAUUCCACAUGCAACUCAUGAGUAUAUAACUCAUAUAUUCCAUGUAUUUGCAACAUAUUUCAUAAUCUAUUUUCAAUUCACUAUUUCACUUCCAUUUAUCAUAACAUUCCAUUUCAAUACCAAUUAUAAAACUUUAUUAUUCAUUUACCCCUAUUAACAUGACUUGAACUCGGACGGAUACACGGACCCAACCAAAACACACCAGUUUGGCACCCAGUAUCUCAUCGGAUAAUUCAAAGUAAUAAGUUGACACCCAAUGUCUCAACGGCUAAAUCGAAGUAAAUUGGCAUCCAGUGCCUCAUCGAAUUAAUAUGAAGUAGUAAAUUGACACCCAGUGUCUCAUCGACUCGAAGUCGAAGUAAUCCCUGAACUCUUUCAAUCUUAUAGCAUGCCAUCUAUGUCCGACUCAGCCCAAUACAGUUAAUAGGGUUUAAUUUCAUAAUUCAAAAACAAUCAAUAUUCAAUAUCAAUUUUUCAUAUAAAUCACAUAUACAUAUAAAUUCAAUUCAGUAUCAAAAUGCUAAAUACUUGUAACAGUCCAAUUUAGACCCUAGUCGGAAUAGUGAUUUUGGGACCACAAAUCCGAAUAAAAAAAUAUUUUAAUAUUAUUUUCAGUGCUUAUAAUAUGUGAAAUGACAUGUGUGAAAGUUUCGUAUGAAAAUUUAAUCGUUUGUGUGUUUAAUUUGAUAAAAAGACUUAAUUGCAUAAAAUGUAAAAGUGGCUUUAAAUAUGAGGUCCUUAUGAUGCAAUUGGACCAUUAACAUGGUUAAUGGACAUUAAUGGCCUUAAUAUAUGAGAUUUUAUAAUGGUUUAUUAAAGGGUAUUUUGGUAAUUGGCAUAUUAAUCAUAUAUUAAAUAAAACAAAACAUUAAAUUGGCUAUCAUAUUCACCGUUUAGCUGAAAUUGAAGAAACAAAGUUAGGGUUCUAAGCCUUUAAGAAUUCAACACAUAUAAGCAUUAAUUAGGUAUGUGUUUUUGAUCGGUUUUUGAUAAUUUCUAUGUUUUUGUGAUCGUUGCUUAGUAUGACUUAAUUUCUGAUUUUGAUGAUGAUUUUGAGUUAUGCCAUUUUUUAUUUUGUAAGCUUUGUGAAGUUAGUUGAUGGAAAAUGAAAGAUAUAUUUUGGGUUAGUAUAUUUUGUCUUUGAAUUUUUGAUGAAUUUGAGUAAAAUGGACUAAAUUGUGAAAAUGAGGUUUUGAGGGACUAAAAUGAAAAAUAAAUGAAGUAUGUGGGCUUGUAUGACCUAUAGGAAUAUUCGGCCAAGCAUAUGUUUAAAGAAAUACGGUGUCUUUUGUGAUUUUAAGAAUUAGGGACCAAAUUGUCAAAAUGUGAAAAUGUGAGGGCUAAUUUGUAAAAUGGCCUAAAUAUGUGUUUUUUGAUUGAUUUGAAUGAUUUGGUGAAGAAAAGAGUUAAAUUUGAAUUUAUAUAGAUCAAGAACCAAAGAAAACGAAAUUAGAUCGGGGAAAGUCGAAAGUCAUCGAGUAGCCGAUUCUGUUUAUUUGAGUCUGUACGAGGUAAGUCGAUAUACAAAUAAAUGUAUUUUGAAUUGAAUUAUUAUUGAUUAUAUGAUUUUGAACAAUGUUGAAUGAAUAUAUGUGUUGAGAAUGAGAUAUCCGAGAAAGUAUCGACAAAGUGUCGACAUCCGAAAAGCCCCGUACGAACCUUAGGAAUAGUUAGGAUACAUAUGUCAUGACAUAGGAUCCGAUAUGUGUUAUCGUGUAAGACCACGUCUAGGACAUUGACAUCAACUUAUGAUUUACGUAUAAGUGCACGUCUGGGACAUUGGCAUCGUAUUUGAUUUCCUGUAAGACCUUGUCUGGGACAGUGGCAUCGAUAUUUGAUUACAUGUAAGACCACGUCUGGGACGUUGGCAUUGUACGAGCUUUCCGAGCUAUCCGCGUAUCCUUAUGAUUCCGAAUGGUUCAACGAGCAUUCUGAGGAAAUGAAUUAUUAUGUGAACAUGUAUCCGAUUCAGGUACGUUUGAAUUGAGUAUCAUAUUUGAUGAAGAAAGGUAAGUAUAUGUACCUUUGUGAACAUAUGGUAUAAUUAUGAGAAAAUAUGUUAUUUGAGAAAAUGGAUUGGAAAUAUAUGAAUUGUAUGUGAACUAUGAGGUACAUGUUAGUAUCUUGGCCAUGAAAUAUAUGUAUUUUAUGAUGUGUAAAUGCUUAAGUUGAUAAGUUUAUUUAUAUAUGACUUACUAAGCUUUUAAAAGCUUACUUUGUGUGUGUUUGCAUUGUUUUAUAGAUAUCUUAGCUACCAGGAGCUCGGGGUGUAAUGGCCUAAAUUCAAGGUUAUCGGAACAAUGGUUUCGUAUCCAUAGAUCCGAUUUAAAGAGAAAUUUAUUUCAAUAAUUUUGCUUGAAAAUUGAUAUGAUAGGAAAAUCGUAUGAAAAUAUUGAUAGAAAAAAUUUACCAAUUUAGUGAUUAGAUAGAAAAAGAAAUUAUUGAAGAAAUUGGGUAAAGACAAUGUAUCGAGACCUCUAUCUAGUAAAACCGAGUCAAAAAUAAUUUUAUAAAUAUUUAUGAAAUGUUAUUAAUGUGGUAUUAAAAUUUCGUUAGGAAAUUUUAAUGUUUGGGUAGUCAAUUAAAAAAAGGACUAAAUUGUAAUAAGUGUAAAAGUUGCUAGAAUGAUUAAAUAGCUUAAGAGUCUAAUGAGAAAGGAUUUAAAAGGCAAUUAGACCCAAAAUUUAUUUGGGCUGGACGGCAAGGGUAUGAAAUCAGCAGAAAAAAUGAAAAAUUAAGGGUAAAAUUGGAAUAUUGCAAAAUUAACUAAAUAAAGCUAGGACUAAAUAGGAAAUAUCUAGAUUUCUCUUCAUUUCUCUUCAAUUCCAGCAGCUAAAAAUGCCAUAGGAGGGUUCUCUAAGCUGAUAUUUCAUAAUUUUUGCACCAAGUGAGUUAAUACUUGCCUUUUUCUUGUAAUUUUUGUGUUUCUAAGACUUUUACAACUAGGUCCUACUAUUAAAUUCAUUAGUUUUUGAUUUCAUGGAUGAAAUUUAAAGUCACCAUGGUUUAUUUCUGUAAGUUUAUGAUGAAAUAGAAUUAAAUUAAAGAUUUAAUUUGUUUAUGAGAUGAUUUUAUUAGGUAAUUUCAAAAGAAAUUGAUUUUUAGGACCUAAUUGUAAAAAUGCUUGGAAUUAAAGUCUAUUGCUGAAAUUCUGAUUCCUAAAGGUUGUAAACUAGUUUAAGGUGAUAGAAUAAAAUGUUAAUUGAGAAAAAUCAGCUCAAUUGAGAGGCUAAUUGAGUAGGGACGAAAUUAUCAUUUAUUAAAAGCUUAGGGGAAAAAUGGUAAUAAACAGCUUGCACAAAAACAGUUUGGACAGCAGCAGUAGACUAACUUUGAAAAAUCACCAUAAAUUUUAGAAAUAGAAUUGGAAGAUGAAAAAAAUAUGGAAUUAAAGCUUAUUGAGUCUAGUUUCUCAUAGAAGAAAUAGUGUAAGCAAUGGAUUUGUAAAUUUUAAGAUAUAAUUAAUUUUGUGAGACAAGGUCAGAAUGAAUUCGGGUUCCCCUGUUCUGACUUUGAAAAAUCAUAAAAAAUUUAAGAAAAACAAUUAUGGGCUUAAAUUUAUAUGUAUAGAAUACUUAAUGAGUCUAUUUUUAAUAGAAACAAACUAGAACAUUAUUUGAAUUCUGUAUGAAGAGAUAAUUAAUUUUUAGUGAAGAAGGGUCAGAACUGUCGACAGCAGAACAGGGGUGACUUUAAAGAAUAAACUGUACUUAUUGGAUAAACCAAAAAUUCUGAAAAUUUUAUAGUAAAAUAUAUAUGAGUCUAGUUUUAGGGAAAAUUAACGUAUAUUAAUUUGGAGUUCUGUAGCUCAAGUUAUAAAUAAUUUAGUGACUAUGACUCAAGUAGACAGCUUUGAAUGAACUAUAAAUAAUAGUUGAAUUAUAGAGAAUGUUGCAUAUGAACAUGAAAUGUAUUAAAUUGAUAAUUAAAUUUAUUUAUUUAGAUCCAGAAGAUUCAAAUACGAAGCUAGAUCGAGGAAAGGAAAAAGUUCGGGAUUAGUAGAUUUUUACUGUUUACAAACAAGUAUAAAGGUAAGUUCGUGUAACUUGAAUUAUAUUCUUAAAUGCUUGAAAUGCAUGUUUUUGAUAUGAAUAUGAUUUGAAUGUUCAUUAUAUGAAAAUUUAUGGAACAUUGAUAUAUUUGAUAAAAUGGGAAGAAAUCCCGUUUGAAUGAAAGGAAAAUUCGAUGGAUCUCUGAAAAGGAAUUGACGGUAAAAAGGAUCUAGCCCGGACGGAAUGUUCAUUAUAUGAAAAUUUAUGGAACAUUGAUAUAUUUGAUAAAAUGGGAAGAAAUCCCGUUUGAAUGAAAGGAAAAUUCGAUGGAUCUCUGAAAAGGAAUUGACGGUAAAAAGGAUCUAGCCCGGACGGGUGAUCCUAUCCUGAUAUAGCCCUCCCGAAGGAUAUGUGUAAAAUGGAUUUAGCCGGACGGGUAAUCCGAAUUAGGGUCUGAAUUUAGCAUGGACUGGUAAUUCAGAUUCAAGCUCAUUAGAGUAAUUGUCGUUGCAGGGGAUUUAGCCUGGACUGGCAAUCCCGACAAUACUCUAUGAGUUUAUAUUGCAGGGGAUUUAGCCUGGACUGGUAAUCCCGCUGCAAGGUUGAGGUUCGCGGGAGUGUGCUCUCUGAAAUGGAUAUGUGCGCACAUGAAUAUGAAUUGACGGACCCGGAAUUGUACACUAAAAGUGUACCUCUGAAAAAUCCAUCGAAAUUCCGAUGAAUUCAACGGGAUAAAUAUGAAAAAAUAACAAGGAAAUGGAAAUCAUGGUAUUGAUGAGCUCAUCAAUCAUAGUAUAUAUUAUUGGUACAUGGAAAUUAUUGUACUAACUUGAAAGUUGAGUUUGUGCAUAUUAGGGUAAUAAUGCAUUGAAUGGAUAUAGGAAUGUUUAUUGUAUUGUAUUGAAAAUAUUAGGUAAGUGUAAUUCUUGUUAUAUGAGCUUACUAAGCACAAAGUGCUUACCCCGUUUCCUUUUUCCUUGUUUUGUAGUGUUAAGAGUUCGGAGGUCGGAUUUGGUCGGAGACACAUCACACUGUCAACCUCAGGAUUUCGGUAUAUAAAGAAACUUUAUUUUGGAAAUCAAUGGCAUGUAUAAGCUAACAAAGUAAAUGUUAACGUGAAAUGAAUGUAAAAUUAGCCAUUAGUAUGGUUAACAAACCUGGUUUUAGAUAUGUGAUGACGUUAUCUUAUAAAUAUGCAUGAAUUUAUCUUGAAAAUAUGUUGAAUUGAUUUGGUUGAUGUGGAUUGGUCUCGAUUUAAUAUUGCAGGGAAGGUUAGAUAUUUAUAAAGGGGCUAUAUAUUGAAUAUAAAAAAAAUUAAUUCGUAAACUCCGGUAAUGCCUCGUACCCUAUUCCGGCAAUGAAUACGGGUAGGGGUAUUACACGGGGAUCAUCAAGGAUUGUCACCACACUAUCAAAAAUUAAGCAUAAGCCGCAAUUUGCUCAACUGUGCUCGCAAAAAAAUUAAGCACAACGUCACAAAAAAAAUUAAGAACAAUAAAAAAUUAAGGACUACAUAGAGGAAUGCUUAGUGUGGUGGAGUGGUCAUAUUUAUUAGAAUGGUAGAAAACUGACUUCCAUUAACAAGAGAGACGAAAAGGCCUGGUCAAGAAAACUAGGGGUUACGGGUUAGGGGUUAGGGCUUGGGGAAGUUAAGCAGAUUGAGUCUUAGCUCAAUUAGUAUGAGCAUUGUUGUCAAUAUGAGAGAACAUGGGUUUGAGUGUGUUGAAAUGCAUUAUCCUCCUGUUUAUGAGUUGUAGACCUAAUAUCAAAAAAGAAUUUGAGAAGUUAAAUUUUAUCAAAAUCAAUUUCGAUAAAUUUUAUCAGCUACACAAAAAAUUAAACUCGUGGAUACAAACUUUUCGUAUGGAAGUUUAGUUCAUUUUAUAAAAAUUUUUUCGUACACAAUUUUAAAUUUUUACAAAUUAAAUAUGUUGUUUGAAACAAAACAUACUAAUUAAUUUAAAUGAAUUUAAGAAAUAAUUAAACCUUUCAAAUAUAGAAACAAAGAAGAAAAUUGGAUUGAAUCUAACUAAAAAUUAAAGAUUUAGUACAUGUGUACUUCAAUUUGAUCAAUUUUGUUGAAUUUUAUAAAUUUUGUUGAAUUUUUAAAAAUUAAUAGUAGGAAAGGCAUUAGCGGCGUUUUUCUUAUAAAAGCUGCAAAAGGUAAACAAUAGCGGUUUUGACAAAACGCCGCAAAAAUUAAAUUUACUUAAAUGAAAACGGCAUCGUUUUGUCGUGAGGACUUUAUUGCCAUUAGCGGCGCUAGGUUAAAAACGCCACAAUAAGUUGGCCAUUAGUGCCAUUAGUGGCAAUUUACUUAAAAGAAAACGACGCCGUUUUGUGGUGGUGGUUUUAGUGCCAUUAGUAGCGCUAUGUUAAAAACGCCGCAAUAGGUUGAUCUUUAGCGGCACUAGGGAAAAAACGCUGCAAAAGGUGUGCAAUAGCGGCGUUUCUGAUAAAAGCGCCACAAAAAUCGAUUUACUUUUUCCAAAACGCUGCCGUUUUGUGUUGGACUUUUAAUGACUUUAGCGGCGCUACUUUAAAAACGCCACAAUAUUUGAUAUUUAGCUACGCUUUAUGUGAAACGCCGUAAAUAGUCAUUUUGUUUUAUUUGAAACGGUGUUGUUUUUCUGUCAUCACUUUCAUCCCAUGCAUAUACUCGAAAUCCCCAAAAUUUUCCCCUAAACCUUAAACCACCAAAUUAGUUUAUUUUUUCUCCAGACAUAAAUCUUACUGCAAAUCCCUUUCUUAUUUUCCCCAUUUUAUUUUCCCCAAAUCCCCUUCCCCGAAAUCCCUAACAUUUUCCCCAAAUAAUUUUUCCCCAAAUCAGUUCCCCCAUCCCUGAGAUAUUGUUUCCCCAAAUCAGUUUUCGAAAUCGCCGUCGGCUGCCCUCUGCAUUGCCCCUCUGCUGCAUCUCCAUCGCCAGCCGUCUGCAUCUUGUUGGAGUGCGGUGAGUCUUUGUUUUUUAACAGAAAUUAACAACAUGAUACUUGUUGAUUCUAUAGCUUCCUGAUGAAUUUGCUGAAAAUUUUAAAACAUCUUUCAAUUUGUCCUUGCAUAUACACGUUAUAAAUUAAUUCAAACAUCCACUAUACCUUUUUGUGUAUAUAGAUUUUUAUAUUAGAAAACCCAACAAAAAUAUUUACUUUUUUACUUCAUGAUAGUUGUUUCUUUCAUUUCAUAAAAUGAAUUUGUGCUUGUUUUGUUGUGAUAGGAUAGAAAUAGGACUUGUUAUUUAACAGUAUCAAUGGAAGGAUUUUAGACAUUAAGGUGAAAAGAAUGGAAACCAAAAAAGGGAUUAAAAAGGAUUAAAGUGAGGAAUAUUGGGUUUCAUACUUGGUCAAAUUCUUGUAACGGUUUUUAAAUCUAUUUAGUGUUUAUUAACCCCCGAAUUUGUUUAGUUUUUAUUAACCCCCAAGACAACAUCAUGGCCUUAGCUAUUAUUACACUGUUCUGGAUGUGGAUUAUUAAAAAAAAAGAAAGAAUCAUUUUGGAUAUAUAUACAUAUAUAUAUACACAUAAAUAAAUAAAAGAAUCAAAUAAGUAAGUUUUGUAUACUAUUGAAUUUAAAUUUUUAAAUUUAAAAGCUAAAGUUUUGCCAAAUUAGGUUGGCUGAACAUCUUUGAUUUUUCUUCAGUUUUGGUUGUUGAAGCCACCCUAUCAUUUAAAUUCUUGGCUGGGAGAAAAUGAAUUGAAACUCUAUUUACAUAAUUUUCAUAACUCAUGUGGACCAUACGAGUAACCAGAUUUCAAGGAUAUAUCUGUCUUUCAUCAUUUUUUAUUCCUUUAUUUUUAAAAUUUGAUGGAAUAAAAUUAAGUUUCACCCCUCAUACAAUUAUUCCAAAUAUUUCAAUCUUAUCAAUAGUAACAUUUAAUUAAAAUUAGGUUUUCAAUCUUAUCAGUUUUUAAUUGAUGCAAAAUGGGUUAGAAAUAAAAACUUCUGUGUGUUUUCAAUAUGUGAAAUCUCUGAUUUGAGUAUUGUAGGUAGCCUUAAAGAUAGUGUACUCCAGUGAUAGGAAAAGUUUUAGAUAAAAACAAAAUGCAGGAUGAAAAAUCACCAAAGAAACCCCAUUAAACUGCUCUGCUAAAAAAUUAAUUGGUUUUUGUAUAAAGAAUUUGUGUUAGUGUAAUUUAAGAGAGAUGUGUGUUAAUUGCCUAAUAAAUAUAGAUUCUUGCUAUUAAAAAACGAUUCACCUUUAUCUCUGAUUAUGCAAUUUUUGCUUUAAUUACAUUGGAUUAUGCAAAACUUUUUCUUUUAAUUUCUUCGGUAGCCCUCCGCUACUUCUUCAAUUUUCUGCCAUCCAGUUUUCUGCUAUCUGCCAUACUGUAAGUUCUUUUUCUAAAAAGUAUUAGUGAAUUAAUGUUGUUUGAUUUUAUUUUAUUUUUUAAAUUAAAGUUGUUGGAAUGCAUGGUAAAUUAGAAGGUUGAAGCUGUCCACAACAGGACAUGUUUCCUAUGAUUACCGAGUGUUAAUGCUUGUUUAAUUGGAGUAUAAAUGUUGUCCAAAAUAGGGUGUGUUUUGGUUAUAAUGUGUCUCGCCCCUGCUAUACAUAGAAUCAUUUAAUAAUGGACUUUUAUUUUGUACUUUUAUUUAGGCUUAAUGCUCAAUUUGAUUCUUGGACUAUAUUCGAUCUUUUUAUUUUGAUAUCUAUUUUUUUGUCUCUAUUUGAUGCUUAAAUUAUUAUUAUAUUACCUGCUUAAACCCAACUUUUAUAAAAUUUUUAAAAAAAUCAAUUUGUAUUGUUUAAUUCAAAAUAUGUCACGUGACAUAUGUAACCAUUUAAAUUGAAACACGUAACAUUCAUGUUUAUUGAAAUAUUUUAAAAAUAUAAAAAUAAUUUUAAAACGUUAAGAUAUUUUUUAAAAUACCAUCGACUUUGGCUGGCGUUGAUCAUCGUUGUACAAUUUUAUUUUGAAUUUUAAUAUACUUUUUUUAAAAAAAAAUCAAAUUCUUCUAUAGAAAUUAUAUUUUUUUUGCAAUUUUUUAAAAAAUAUUUCAGUUUUUCUCGAAUUUAUUUUAAAAUUUUUUCCAAAGUUAAAUCUUUUUUCAAUCUUGUAAUUUUUUUUAAAAUUUAAUUAUUUUUUUCUAUUUUUAUAAAUAUUUGAAAUUUUUAUAUACUAUUUUGACUUUUCAAAAUUUAUAUUUAUAUAUUUUUGAAAUUUUAAAAAAAAUACAUUUAUUUGAAUUAUUUAUAUGUUAUAUUUUAAUUUUUUAAUUAAUAUAAUUUACAUAAUAUAAAAAAUAAAAAGAAAGUGAUGUGAUUCAUUUUAAUAGCUUCACGUGCUAAUUUUUCCCCCUAAUCGUAUGGAUUAAAAUAUAUAAUGAAAUGAUAGUUUAAGUAUUGAAAAAAAUUAAAAAUAAUAAUAAAAUAAAAGAAGUGUUAUUAUUUGUGUAAAAAAAAUAAAUUUAAUUCAUAAAAAUAUAUAUAAAUUCAAAACAUAUUAUAACCAAAACAGAAAUAUAUAUCUAAAUUUCAUAACUUACAUAACUUAUAUAAUUUUAAUAAAUUUAAUUUAAUCUAAUAAUUUCCUUAAAAGUAUAUAGUUUAAAGUUUAAAUUUCAUAACUUAUAUAUUUUACGUAACUUACAUAACUCACACAACUUACAUAACUUAAUAACUUAUAUAUAUCAUAUCAUAACUUACAUAGCUCACAUAACUUACAUAACUUACAUAACUCACAUACCUCACAUAACCCACAUAACUUACAUAACUUACAUAAUACAUAAAUAGAUAUCAUAUCAUAUCAUAAUUUACAUAACUUAAUUAUACUUGUAAAUAAACAACUUACUCAUAUAAUUUAUUGUCAAGUUUAGACUUAAAGAACUACGAAAUGGAUAGGAGUUGGAUGAAAUUGUCAAGGGUAAGCAACGGCUAUCGAAAUGGAGUAUAAACUUUCUAAAUUUUACAUUUCAAAAUGCAAGCCAAGAGAAUAUGAUUCUUUGCCCGUGUAAGAAGUGUGACAACAUCAAUUGGCAUUUUCAUGAAGUUGCCUACAAACAUCUAAUUGUUAAUGGCUUUAUUCGGGGGUAUAAAAAAUAGAUUUUUCAUGGAGAGUGUACACCUAGUAAAACCUCUUCAAUGAUUAAUUCGGCUUAUCCUUAUAGUGCUUACCAUCAGUCUGUUAGAGAAUAUGACAUGGAAGGUAUAUUGCGGGAUGCAUUUAAUAUGCGCAGUCAUGGUUUGCAAUCGUUUCCACCUGACUUUGUUGCAUCCGAUGAUUGUAAUUUUGGUGGAAAUGCUUUUACCUAAACGGGAAGAAGUGUACCUGAUGAAGAGCCAAAUGAAGAAGAAACGAAGUUCUACACGUUACUUAAUGAAAUAAAUGAAGAACUUUAUGAGGGAUCAAAAUUUUCAAAAAUGCCUUUCUGUAUUUGUCUUUUUCACUUAAAAUGUUUGGGAGGGUGGACCGGAAACUCUUUGACAAUGCUGUUAGAGUUUUUGAGAGAUAUGUUUCCGUUUGCAAAAAUCCCUCAUUCAUGCAAAGAUAUGAAGAAACUGAUUAAAGAUUUAGGCUUGGGUACAACAAAAUUCAUAGUUGCCCAAAUGACUGCAUUUUGUAUUGGGGUGAUCAGAAAAACCAAUAGUCUUGUCACGUUUACGGUAAAUCUCGUUGGAUGAAUAAAAAUACAGAAGAUGUGAAUGAGGAUGAAUAUGAGGCACAAUCAAGAAAGAAGGAAAUAAAGAUUUUGCGAUAUUUUCUGCUAAUACCAAGGCUUCAAAAGCUUUUCAUGUCGUCAAAGACAGCUGAGUCUAUGACGUGGCAUCAUGAUCAGCGAACCGAUGAUAGAUUAUUAAGGCAUCCUGCGGAUUCUUUAGCUUGGAAAUCAUUCGACAAUAAAUUUUCAAGCUUUGCAAGCGAUUCUUGAUGUGAGGCUUGGGCUAGCAUAUGAUGGAUUUAAUCCUUAUAAAAUCAUGAGCACUUCGUACAGUACUUGGCCUGUAGUGCUUGUUCCUUACAAUUUGCCUCCAUGACUUUGCAUGAAGCAAUCUUCUUUUAUCUUAUCUAUAAUUACCCCUGGAGAGAAAGGUCCCGGAAAUGAUAUUAAUAUUUAUUUGCAGCCACCUAUUGAAGAGUUAUAACAGUUAUGGGUGGGUGUUGAGACAUAUGAUGUAUUGAGAAAGGAGAACUUUUAUUUACAUGCAGCUUUGUUGUGGACUAUUAAUAAUUUCUCGGCUUAUGCCAAUUUAUCUGGUUGGAGUACCAAAAGACGUUAUGCUUGUUCUUGUUGUGCUGCACAAACAGUUCGAAGUGGUUAUAUAAUGGGAAGAAGUUCUUUUAUAUUGGGCAUCUUUGGUGGUUAGAUGGAAAUCAUAGAUUUAGAUUUCAUAGGACUCUAUUUGACAGUACUGAAGAGUUCAGAGAAGCUCCUGAGUAGACCAUUGGAUCUGAAAUCUUGUUCAUGUUGAAACUUUCAGUUAUGGGAAGAUGAAUCAACCACCCAACAAGCAAACAAAGAGAAGAUCGAGGGAUGAAUCUGAUGAUGAAUCUGAUGAAGAGGAUGAUUCUAAUGAGGCAGACUUGUGGAAAAAAGAAGAAGUAUUUUUUUGAGUUGCCUUAUUGGGAGCAUCACAUUUUACGACACAAUCUUGAUGUAAUGCAUAUUGAGAAGAAUGUUUGCAAGAACAUCAUUGAGACAAUUUUGAAUGUCCAUGAAAAAUUGAAAGAUAAUCUUCAGAGUCGAUUUGAUUUAGUUGACAUGGGAACUCAGCGUGAUAUUCAUCCCCAAGUACUUCUGAAUGGGAAAUAUCGGUUGCCACAUUCUAUUUUUGCAAUGUCGAAGGAAGAGAAAGAAGUGUUCUGCAUGGUGUUGAAGGAUAUAAAGGUCUCAGAUGCGUAUGCAUCAAAUAUAUCUCAAUGUGUGAGUCUUAAAGAUCGAAGACUAUAUUCCUUAAAAUCACAUGAUUAUCACAUCUUGAUGCAAGAUUUACUGUCAGUUGCUUUACGGUACCGUAUAUCAAAAAAGGUGACGUCCUGUAUAAUUGAACUAUCCAAUAUAAUGAAAGCUAUUUGUGGCAAAGUUUUGAAUGUUAAAAAACUUGAGAAAGUACAAGAUCGAGCCGCUUUGACUUUAUGCAAUUUUGAGAAGAUCUUUCUACCUUCCUUCUUCACUAUUAUGGUGCACUUGUUAAUCCAUCUCCCUCACGAAGCAAUAAUUGGUGGACCGAUUUUUUAUCGGUGGAUGUAUCCUAUAGAAAUGUGCUAAUUUAUUUGUAAAGUAUUUAUUCAUUCACAUGUAUACCUUUAGUUACAACUUUUGAUAAUAUUGUAUAUUGUGUUUAGGUUUCUAUGCAAAUUAAAGUCUUAUUGUCGUAAUAAGCGUUAUCUAGAAGGAUCAAUUGCUGAAGGUUACUUGGCAGAGGAGUGUAUGACUUUCUGUUCUAGAUAUUUAGAAGAUGUUGAAACAAGACUGAAUAGACCAAGUAGAAAUGCUGGGCUCACUGAUCAUAACUUGGCCGAAACUUAUUUAUUUCAAAGUUAUGGAGAAUCAAUCGGUAAAGUUGAAAUUGCAGAAUUAGAUGAUAGAUUUUAGGUACAAGCACAUCGAUAUGUUCUUUUUCAUAACAAUUCAAUUGAACCAUUACAUAAGUAAGUUCUAGAAUUUGAUAAAUAUUCAUCUUUUUGAUUUGUUUAUCUUCUAACCAAUUAAACCUCUUUUUAACAUAGUGAGUACAAACAAAUCUUGAGAUCUCGUUCAUGCUCCCGAAGAUUACAACAUCAAGAGAUUGAUAAGUUAUUCACAGAAUCUUUUCAUGAAUUAAGCCAAACGGUAUGCAACUGAAGCUUUUAUUGACAAAUAAGAACGUUUUCUCAUAACAUUUAUAAUUACUCAAUUUACUUUCGAUUCUAUAGGUUUGAAGUGGGAAGGACGUCAAUGACGAAUUUAAAUGGUUUUCCCAAAGUCCGAAUAGAGUAGUAAAAAGAUAUAGUGCAUUCCUCAUCAAUGGAUUCAGAUUUCAUACAAAAUAUCGCGAGAGAUUGAGGAGAACUCAAAAUUGUGGAAUAGUUGUUAAUUCUUCAAUUACAAGUUAUGCUAGUGCUAGAGACAGUAAUCCUGUUGAGCGAAAUGUGGAGUAUUACGGACUUCUUACUGAUAUUAUUGAGUUGGAUUACCAUGGCAAAUAGAAAGUUGUCUUAUUUUGAUGUGAUUGGGCUGAUGUUAAUACUGCUCACGGAAUUAAAAAAGAUCAAUUUGGUUUUACAAUGGUGAAUUUCUCUCGAUUGAUUCACACUGGACAACAAUUGAUAGACGAGUCGUAUGUAUUUUCUUCUCAAGUGAAACAAUUUUUUUACUUGAAAGAUUCAACUGAUGAGGGUUGGUAUGUUGUACUCCGAAACACCCCUAGAGACUUGUUUGACAUGGGUAAUGGAAGUAGAGAUGACAUCGUCAAAAGAUCAGAAACUUUGCCUUUUCCAGAACAAAACUUUAAUGAAAAUAUCCCUAGUACUAGUACACAAUUUCAAUGGGUUCGUCAGGAUGUGGAUGAAGCUAUUUACGAAUUAUGAUGUAGUAAGAUUUUACGAUUUUUUAAUUAUAUAUAAUAUUAUAAUUUAAAUCUUGGUCUUGUUAAAUAUUUCAACUAUUUUAUAUAUACUAUUAUUGUUGUAAUUAGUUACUAAAAUUUCAACUAUUUAAUGUGUCUUGCAGGAAAAAUGCCUAGAAGAAGAUUACGAAAUCUAAGUAUUGUUCAAAAUAAUCCAAAUUCGGAAGAAACAAAUAGUGAACAACAGACUGCUAUUGGAUCUUCGAAUGUUUCGGAAACACCUGACGGACCUGCAGAAGUUCAAAGUAAAGUUAAAUUUAAUUUACAUGCGUGUUGACUUUUAUUAUUGAUUUCUUUUUCAAAUUAUUAUAUUAUAAUAUACCAUUUUUUAGUUGAAAGUGGUAGAACGCGUAGAGCUCGAUGACAUAAGCUACUUAAAGAUUUAGACGAGUUAAAUCCUAUCGAGCGUGUCAAAGUAUCUAGAAAUAAUCUUGGUCAGCCUGUUGGAUCAGAAGCUCGACUUUUAGCAGGAUAUUUGGGCAUUAUAGCACGAAAUGCUAAUAUGUUGCCUAUUAACUACGAGUCAUGGCAUCAAAUACCUAAUAGUAACAAAAAUCAAGCUCUCGAUAAUAUUAAGGUAACGAAAUGUGAAUGUAAUUUAUAAUACUUUGGUUUAAGUUUCAUUUAUAUUUACUUUCUAAACUUGUGUUUUUUGUAGGAGAGAUUUAUUUUAGAGGUCUCGGAUACUUAUGUCAAGAAGGCAUUGGUAAAAAAAUAGAGACACCAUAAAAGCAAUUUAAAGAAAGAACAUUUUAAGAAAAAUAUAAGCCUUGAAGAGAAAUUGCGAAGUGUCCCACCAGGAAUGCUGAGGUAUCAAUAGGAAGAUGCGGUUUGAUUUUGGAAUUCAAAGAAAGGAGAGGUAUUACGUACUUCCAAACUCUUAUAAUUAUUUCGGUUUAUAGUAAUUACUAUAUACGUAGUAAUAAUUUCAUAAUGUAGGACCGUGAGCGAGUUUGAACAAGCAGCAGGGAAAAACAAAAAUUCACGCACACAGUACGGUCGAAAAGUUUUGCUUGUGUAGCUGAGGCUGAGGUAUUUUGAAAUUAUUAAUUGUGUCAAAUAUUAAUUACUUUCUAUUAAAUAAUAUUUUUAUUACUAUAUUGUAGGAACACUCAUUUGGUAAAAAAGUUGGACGCCUUCAGCUUUUUGAUAUUACACAUAGGAAGAAAUAUGGAUCUCCAAUGACUUCUGAAGCUGGAGAAAUUAUGGUAUAUUUACUUAAUAAAAUUUGAUUUAUUUUAAAUAUUAUAAUGUUUAAUUAUAAUGGUUUAAUUCGUCAUUAGCAGUUUUAAAUAAUGUUAAGUUAUUUUGCAUUUAUUUUUAUUAUAUAUUUCAUUUCUAACUCUUUGAUUGAUUUAUUAGGAGAAAUUAAAGGAUAGAAAGGCGCAGUAUGAAGCGAUUGCUUAAAGUGAUAGUUCUGUUAAUCUUGAGGACAUUGAUAACAAAAUUAUUACUGAAGUUUUGGGUCUUGAAAGGUAUGGUCGAGUUCGAUUUCAAGGAUCAGGUGUUAACUCAACCCAAUAUUUUGGAUCUAGCUUGCGACAAUACAUGCCUUUGGGGAGUCAAGCUCAAGCUGAAGUUCAGAGGUUAAGAGACCAGAUCACUCAGAUACAAGUGAGCACAGUUGAGCAAAUAACUCAACUUAGAGCGGAGGCAGCAACGAGGGAAGCAGAGCAGAGCAGAAAGUAUGACGAACUCCAGCUACAGUUUCAGAAUAUGAUGAAAAUGUUUCAGCAGCCGCAAAAUUCGUCAUCUUAGACAUUUGUUUUCUUAUUGUAAGAAUCUUUUUAACAUUGUAACUUUUAAUAUUAUUGUAAGAAUAUUUUGAAUUAUACUUCAUUUAUUAAUUUAUAUAAUAUAUCUUUAGUUGAAUUUGAAUAUCAUUUAGAUUUGUUGUUUUUGGCUGAAUUUCAUGCUAUAGGAAGGGUUGGAUACGGGUAAAAACGUGAUAUUGCAAAUCAACCAAAGUUAGUAACGUUUUCCGUAAAAAUGCCGCUAAAGGACAUGUUCUUUAGCUGCAUUUGUGGUGAAAGCGCCGCUAAAGGUCAUGCUCUUUAGCGGCAUUUGUGCUGAAAGCGCCGUUAAAUGUCAUGUUCUUUAGCGGCGUUUGUGGUGAAAGCGCCGCCAAAAGGUCAUGUUCUUUAGUGGCUUUUUUUCAAAUAAACGCUGCAAACUUUAGCGGCGUUUUUUUGUGGCGCCUGUAAAAACGCCGCAAAUAGUUUUAGUGGCGCUUUAUAGGCCUAAAAAACGCCGCUAAAAGUCAAUUUUGCUGCAGUGUACUCUUAAUUCAUGCAAAUUCACCUAACCAAAACCUAAUUAACCACACAACUAGCUUCGUAAAUAUUUUUAAUAUAUAUUUACGAAUUCCAUAUACGAAAAUGGAGUAUCAAAAAUACAUUUUCCGACACCUGUGACUAUAGAGUCGUUACAAUUAUAAUUAUAAUUCUAUAUUAAAUCAUAAUUAAAUUAAAUCAAACAUUGUUUAAAUUAAAUUAAAUACAAUUAUUAAAUAUAUUGUAUAAAACACUUUUUUAUAUAUAAUUAAUUUGUAUUCUCGUAUAAUGUACAAAUUAAUUGUAUGCAUUAUUUUAAAUAUGUAGUAAUUAAUGAUAACAUAUUUAAAUUACUACUUAUUUUAAUUUUUAACUCAAAAUUAUAACCUACAUACAAACCAACUCAUAAUACAAAUUAAUAUUAUAUAUAUUAUAGCAUCACAAUCAUCAUCUACGCUCAAUCACAUAUUAGCAACACCAAUAAUUAUAUACAAAUAGUCCAAAGUUAUGUGGCCUCACUAAUUGGUUUGCUGCUAUUGAUUCCACGUAAAGAUAUAUUAAGAUAGUUGCAGCGACAUAAAAUUUUUGCUUUCGGCCGCUAAUUGAGGUGAUUUAUUGAAAAUUUAAAAAUCGACUUUCGAUUUUAUUAAAAAGGGAGUCGCCACCGAUCCUUUUUCCUAGGUGUGAUCAGACACCUAAUAAAUCCUCUUUUUUAAAAAGAAAAUUUAUUUAUUUUUAAACAAAGUUUAGGUCUACGUCAAAAGCUAGAAAAAAAAUAGGGUUCGGGAGUCGGUUACGCACGAGGAAGGUAUUAGCAUCCUCGCGACGCCCAAAAUUGGUAUCUCGUUAAACAUGUGUUGUCUUAAUUUUCAAAAAUACGAGUUCAAUUUAAAUUUUAAUCUUGAUCUGAUCAAAACACGAGAAUUUUUAAAAUUUUGGUUUCUUUUAAGAAGGGCGUUUUCUUUUUUAACACGAUCCGUUGAUAUUCACCCAACAUAGCGAUGAAAUCCAUGACUUAAUGUUAAAUUGGUGCGUUACCUUAUUUAUUGAAAUUAAAAAACAUGAGUAAAAAUAUUUUUUAAAAUAAAAAUUCAUAAAUAAAUAAACGGUGCAAACAAUAUAAUGAAUGAAAAAUAUUAACAUAUAAUAUAAGAGCAUUAGGAUAAAAAUAAAAACAAUAUUUACAAUAAAAAGAAAAUAAUAAUAAAAAUAAUGACAUGCUAAUAAUAUAAUAAGAAAAGCAAACUGAUAAAGAAUGGGUGAGAAACAAAAAUAAAAGAGUUAGAAAUUCAUCGAAGCAAAUAAUAAAUAUGACAAUAAUAUUAAAAACAAUAACAAUGCAUGCGAUGUUAAACAUAAUAAUAGUAUUAAACACGAAAUAAAAACGAUGAAUAUAUAUACAUAUAAUAAUUAGUAAAGUGACGGAAACAUGAUAUUAAAAACACUAAUAAUGUUACCUGUAUACAUACGUAUAUAUAUUAAAAUAUAAACAUAAUAAUAGUAUUAAAAAGUAUAUACGUAGUAUUGAAAAUAUAUAUAUAAUAUAUACAUAUUAGAAAUAAUAAUAAUAUUAAAAACAACUAUUAAUAAUAUUACAUAAAUAUACACAUAUAACAUAUUAAAAAUAUAUAAAUAAUAAUAAUAUUAAAAGUAUGUACGUAAUAUAGUGUUAAAAUUACAUACAUAAUAUAGUUUUUUUUAAAAAUAUAUACAUAAGAUAAUAUCUAAAAAAUGUAAUAUAGUAUUAGAAAUAUAUGCAUGACAUAUAUAAAAAUACAAUAUUAAAAAGAUAUAUAUAUGUAAUAUAUAUAAAAAAUGUAUACAUAAUAUAGUAUUGAAAUAUUUACAUAGUAUAUACAUAUUAGAAAUAAUAAUAAUGUUAAAAAACAACUAUUAAUAAUAUUACUAAAUAUAUAUAUAUUAAAGAUAUAUACAUAUAUAAUAAAACAUAUACUAAUAUUAAUAAUAAUAAUAAGGAUAAUAUAAAAAUAUAUACAUAAAAUAGUAUAAAAGAUAUAUAACUAAUAAUAUUAAAAAUAUAUACAUAAUAUAUAUACAAACAUAUACGAUAUAUAUAUAUUAGAAAUGAUAAUAAAUUGAAAAAAAACUAUUAAUACACUACAUAAAUACAUACAUGUAUAUACAUAUAUAAAUAUUAAGUGAAAAAUCAAUACUAGUACUAAUAAUAGUAAGAUACAAUGAAGAAUGGAUAUAAUAAUAAAUAAUAAAUUAUAAUAGUAUAAAUAAUAAUAAAAUAAAUAAAAAGAGAAAAGGAAAAAAAAGGAAAAGUGAAAAAGGACGAAAAUCGAAACAAAACAAAGUUUGGGGUGAAUUUAAAAAGAAAAAAAAAGAGAAAAGGACCAAAUUGCAACAUGCGCGCAACCUGGAAAUACUGAAAGCGCAAUAUUCCCCAUCCUAAAAUGCAGCGCGUGGCCGAGGACCAAAUUAAAAAGCGCGACAAAUUCCAGGGCCGAAUUAAAAGUAAAAUAGCUUGAUUGUAAACACAUUAAAAAGCGGAAGGGCUAAAUGCGCAAAUAACCCUUCCGUUAAAAAAACACGCGGAUCAUCCUCCCAGGCGGGUCGGGUCACGAGUUCCCUCCCCAAAACGAUGUCGUUUUGCAUCUGGGGAGGGAACCCAAAAUGCUGCCGUUUCGGUCAGCUUAUAAAACCCACAAAAUUUUUUAUAACAGCUCAUUUCAUUGCCGUUUCAGAAAAAAAAGAGGGAGAAUUCUCCCUUUCUCUCUAGGCAACCCCAGAUCCCGGCCAAGAGGGCCACCGCACACCACCACCGUCGCCGUCGCUGGCCAGCGCACGAGGUGGCCGGAAUCCCGAAAAGUAAGUUUUUUAUUCUAUUUUUUUAUAUGUUUAUAUAUAAAUAUAUAUACUGUCUUUUUUUUUUUAAAAAUGGAAAAAAAAUAUAUGUAUGUGUGUAUAACAGUUUAGUGUAUGAGUAUUUUCAAAAUAAACAAAAAUGCUAAUGAAAGAAGCAAUACCCUAUAGUGUUUGCUUUGUUUUCUCUUUUUCCUCAAAAUUUUGCUGUGAUCUUUGCGUUUUUUGGAGAAAUCGGUUACUUCUAUUGCUUUCAAAGGAAAAAAAAAAUCCCCGUUACAUGGCUUUUUGUUCGACUUAUAUAGCCAUUCACACUGCUAUUAUUUUCCCUUACUGUCUUUUCUUGUUACUGCUUGCAGGUGAUGGUGCAAUAUGGAGGAUGGUGGGGUGGUGUUGAGGCAACGUCAGAGGCGUCAGAGAGCAGGUGUGGCUAGUGGCAGAAGACAGACUAGGGUUUCAGCUUUUAUGAAACCCUAGUUUGACUAAUGGGUUUGGGUUUGGGCUUGUUUAGUUUAGUUUAUUGGGCUAAUGUAAUUGGGUGGGUAGGUUUAGUUUUUGUUUUGGGCUUGUUGGGCUCGGGCCAAGAUUGGUGUAUACAAUAGUGAUAAUAAGUGUGAAAAAAAGCAAAGAAUUAUGAUGAACGAUGGUUCGAGAGUUUAAGGUGCUUGAUGCUCAGGGCAAUGUUGAAAAAAAUUGGUCAAUGAAUAUGUAUGAAUUAUUUAAAAUAAUAAUUAAUUAAAAUAAUAUUAAUUAUUUUGAUAAUUCAAAUAUAAUGUGAAAGGACGUGCUCUAGGGAUAACCCAUUAUCUAUUGGGUGAAAUUAGGGGUGAGCAUUUGAUCGAGUCGAAUCAAGUCAAAAAUUUGAAUUAAUUCUUUUUCAAGCAAUUAAAAAAACUAAUUAUUGAGUUAUACUCCUAUGCCAAUAAUUUAAGCCAAAUUGAUUCAGAACAAACCUCAGUUAUGAAUACCCAAGAUAAUUAGGUAUAUUAUUAUAUUAAUUACAAUUCAAGAUUUAGUUCAUCUAAUUUAGAUCAAAUUCUAGCCCUAAAACAAAAAGUUAUUUUCUAAUUCUUGUAAAUUUUGUCAAAUUAAUAGUUAGUCCAACUAGUAUCAAUAAAGAACAAGGAUGAAUAAAUAAUCAAAUAUCUAUCAAGAAUAUCCAUUGCAAUUGUAGAAAAAAAACACAGUCAAUGGAAAAAUUGAAAAAUAUCUUCAAAUAAAAAUAAGAACUACUCAUAAAAAAAUUAAAAAAAAAUAGAUGAAGAAAAUUGAGUCUUCUCGAUGAAUUCCGUCGAUCCUUGAUGCUAAAAGGCCUUAGUUUAGUAGCUUCUCUUCAUUUUCUCCACAGUUUUCUGGGGUUAAGUCUCUUUUUUCUUCUUUUUGAUCUCAUCAAAAUUCACAGCACUUAUCAAGUAAUCACGAAUAAAUCUUCUGUUGGAGUGAAAACUACUUUCCUUACAUAAAUCCCUAUUUUUAUACUUCGUCGGACGUCAUACAAUAUAAAAAUAUAUAAUUAAUUUAACAACCAUUAAAUAUAAAGAAAUCAUUAUCAAGAAAAAGGUAAGCUAUUAUUUUCUGUUUUAAACUAUAACUAAAGUAACACGAAUUUAACUCAAAGAAAAUAAAAAUAAAUUAUUAGUAGUUAUCAACAGAAAGACAAUGGGAGAAGACCAAGAAACAAUGCAAAAGAAAGAAUCAAGCACGUUAAAUAGAUGGAAGAUGAGAAGAAUCAUAAGAAAUUGAAAACUUUUGCGGAGAUUGUAAGGGAAGAUUCGAGAAGAGGUGUGGUGUAAUUGAUCAAAACUGUAUUAAGUAAAUAAAUUCAUUGAUUUGGUUCCUAUGAUUAUGAUAGAAGAGUUUUCAUUUUAGUUACCUUCUUACUUUUAUUAUAAACUAGUUUUUUCACCGAAGUUUAAUGGUAUAUAUAUCAAUUAAAAUAUAAUAAAAUUAUUUGAUUUUUUUUUAUUAUAAAUUUCAUCAUUUUAUUGCGAAUAAAAAAUUAUUAGUAAUAAAAAAAUAAGAUUUUUUUUGAGUAAAAAAAAUAUUUUUUCAGAAUAAAAGUUUUACGAUGAAGAAGAUGGAAUCUAUAAGAUCCAUCAAUAGCAAAAAUGCACCUUUUCUAUCCAAAAGACAUCAUUCUGAUAAUGUAAAUCAAAUUUUGCUGAUUUCUGAGCAUCUUCUAGAAAAACCUUGUAAACCAAAAUAAGUUUAUUAUAGUUUAUUUUUAUUUAAAAUAUAAUAAUUUUAAAAACAGUGAUAGUAUAUUUUUUUGUGUUGUGACAAUGGGUGGAUUUAGUGAUAAAUGUAUUGUUCUUCAAAAUGCAAAGCUGAGAAAAAUUAUCAUGAGUGUACGAUAAAUUAAGAUUAUUUGUUGUUAUUAUUAAAGAAAGUGAAUAUUUUUCAUUGAAUUAGGCUCUAUAAAUUAUAAGAAAACAGAAUUUCGUAAACAUCAUUUUGUGUUUUAUAUGAUUUCUGUUUGGAUUUAGUGCUUAAAGUAGUGUCCACCAUUUUAAGCACUACUUUGAUUGAACUAUUUGAUUCUUAACCAUGCCUAAAUUAUUUUAAAUUCUAAAAUCCUUCAAAAUUUUUACCUAAAUAAGUAAAGUCACAUCUAGAAAUUUGAAACCUUUAAUACAAAUAAAAUCUCUCGUUUAAACACACUUUUAAAGAAAGGAUAUAAAUUUGAAUCUUAAAAAUAACAUUAUUAAAAGAGAAAAACACAAAUUAGAAAUAAAAAGUAUACUUUGUUAGUGUAAAAGCAUUAAAAGUUUUAGAAAAUUUAGAGGUAAUUGUGAUGAAUUGAAAGUUGACAUUUGCCUUAAUAUUUUAUUUAGCUGCACAAGCAGCCGUUGAAUUGAGUAUAAAAUCCUUAGUCUAUUCACAACAUCUUUUUUAUGAAGAAUCUCUUCAAUGAUAUACGUAAAAGAAUUAAACUUAACAUUUAUCGGUAGAAUCAUAAUCUUAAGCAAAUCUAUCAAUAAAAGUUUUCCUUUAAACACAAAGAAUUUUUUGCUUUAAUUGCAUGGUCAUGCUUACGUUAACUUACAUCGUAAAUAAUUUGGAAUAAAUUUUAAAAUUAUACAUUAAUUUUAAUUUAACAUGUAAUUGUAUAUAUGAAUUUUAAUUUGAUGUAAUUAUAUAUUUAAAACUCUAAUUGUGAUUUAAAUGUAUUUUUAAAUUUGUUUUUAUAUAAAAAUAAUAAUCUAAAAAAAUUAAUACGGGCGAGUUGGGUCGAGCUCGGAUUUAGUAUUUUUAAUUUAGGUCAAGUUUGAAUCUAAAAAAUAGACUUAAAAUUUUGUAUUGGCCCGAUCUAACCUAUAAUUUAAUCUAUUUGUAGUGUAUUUGGGUUAAGAGAAACGAUAAUUGUUUUGACAAUGGUAAGGGUAACCUAGUAGAGCUAUUGUGCAAGAAAAAGGAGGAAUUGGUGUGCUUUUGGGUGACAAGUUUUAUUCAAAUUCGAACCUAUCUAUAAUAUUAUAAUUUAAGUAUAAUUCGGUUCAGCCUUAUGUAAAACCUUCUAUAUUUCAAUUGAAAUGUAAUUACAAAUUGUAAAAAUUAAAUAUUUUGUUUAUUUUGAUAACCCACCAUUUUAAACAUACAUAAAAGAAAGAUAUUACCACAAUUUUUAUAAGACAAUUCAAAAUUUUCUUUUUGAUAUAAUGCUUAAAACUAUUUAUAACAUUUUUAUUAACCCUUAAAUAGGAGAAUAACGCACUUCAGAAUAUUUGAAUCUACGUUUUCCUACAUUAACAACUAUAUCGAUGCCAAUUGAGCUAAGACUCAAUCGACAAUCCACAACAUCUCUUAAAUACAAACAUUAUAUCCAUAUUCCAUUUAGGAAAACAAUUUAGAAUUACAAUAAAUCCACUUCAAAAUGCAGUGGAUAUUAAAAUUAUUAUUCUCUGCAGAUUUGGAUAGACCUCUAAUUUCGCAUAACUGGAUACAAAAUAUUUAAAAUUUUUCUUCCCAUAAGGUCUAAACUCAUGACCAUAUUCAAGUAAUACCAUGCUUUAAACCUUCAAGACUAACCAUCAAAUUUAAUUAAAAUUUACACAAAUUAAUAAAUAACAUAUAAAUAUCAGUAAAAUUAUUUUAUAAAAUUAAAUAUAAUAAUUAAAAAUAAUUUAAUAAAUUUAAAUAUGUUUAAAAAUUUAUCAAAAAAAUUUAUCAUCUUAUUCUCUUAAAUUUUAUGUAGUUUCUUUUAAAUCUUGUUUUUUUUUUGUACUCGUAAACUUAACUCAAUAAUGAGAUGAUAUCAUCAAAAUUUUUAGAUUUAUGAUUAUCCCAUUUAUUAUUUAAUCAAUUCAAUUAAUUAAAUUAUUUUAAACAAAAAAUUAACUGAUAUUUAUAUAAAUAAAUAUUAUAAUAUAAAUUAAUUUUGAAAUGUUAUCUUUAGUACAUAUUAUAUUAUAAAAACAAUAUACAAACUUGGAAAAUUAUGCGGUUGUGGCUUCUAUGGUCUGGAGAAGUAAAUGAUCUUAUUGACUGAAAUAGGCUUAAUGGCAAAUUUGGCUACUAAUGUUUGCAUGUUUUGUUAAAAUGAAAUUAAUUAUAUUUUUGAGUCUUUUUUAGCUAUUAAUCUUUUUUUUUCAACUUGCUUUUUCUAACAUAUUUAAUAAAAAUAACGUUAAAAAAAUUAACGGGGAUGAUAUAGAAUUUCAUAUGUGAAAUAAUUUUAAUGAGAUAUUAUUUGUUAUUUAGAUAACCCAAUAAGAUAAUUAUAUGUGGAAAAUAAUAAAAUAAACAAUACAUUAAAUUAAAAAAAUAACUCUUAAUUUAAAGAAAAUAAAUGUAAUUAUCUAAAAAAAAAAUUAACUCAGUAGAAAAGCUUAUCAAUAAACAAACCUAUGAAGAUUGAAACUUUUUGGAAGAAAAGAAAAAUUAAAACCUUGAAUUUAUUCAUUAAAUCUGUUAGAAAAAGUGGAUUGAAAAAAAAAGAACAAAGGUUGAUGGUAAAAAAAAAACUCAAAAAUACAAUUAGGAUUAUUUUGACAAAACAUGUAAAUAUUAGUGGCCAAAUUUAUUAUUAAGCCAAUGAAAUAAUAGAAGAAAAAUCUAGUUGAACACUACUAGUAAGGAAAUACAAUGAAAUAUCAAACAGUUUAUGCAGUACAUUCAUUACAGAAAGCUUAAAUUAAAAGACAUGGUAUUGUUUAGGGAGAUCAAGGCAUACAGGGUGUCCUUAGCUUAAGAAGCACAUGGACUAGCAUUCCACAAACAAAACCAAGUGCUGCACUUGACCCUACAAGUGAAACAGCAGUGCAUAUUAACAUCACAAAUGACUCUUGCUUUGAAUUCAUGUCCCUGCAAGUCAUUGCUAGUUCAAUCCCUGCAAACAAGAGUAAAACACCCAAGAUACCAACAGGAAACAGGUGCAAAAUUGUCACUAAAGAAGUUCCCAAUACCAAACCCAACAUCAUUUUGGCUGCACCAAGUAAGGCAACACACCCACCACUCCUGCCCCCAAACUUGUACUGUCCAGCUAACCCACCUGCACCAUGGCAACAAGGCAGGGCACCAAACCAACAUCCCACCAAGUUCAUUAGCCCCACGGUUACAGAAACCGAGGUGGCGGAGAAUUCCCUUCCUGGAAAAAGAUCUGAUGACAACUUACAGACAGCAAUCACCGAGUUCAGUACUGAUAAAGGUAAUUGAGGAAUUGUCCCCUUGAUAAAUCCUUCCUUCCAUGAAUGACCAGUUAUUUUCACAAUCUCCAUGACUGAAGGUCCAAACUUAAUGUCAUUCACCACUUUUGGCCUUCUUAUGAAAGCCAACACUACACCUAACAAGAAAAUGAUGAAAGCUGAAGGGAUGGUAGCCAUG